AGCCCUGUAGCUCAGUUGGUAGAGCAUGGUGUUUGCAACGCCAGGGUUGUGGGUUCGAUUCCCACGGGGGGCCA
rfam:Salmo salar isolate Sally breed double haploid chromosome ssa22, whole genome shotgun sequence.